rnacentral:rRNA from 1 species
CCUACGGGAGGCAGCAGUGGGGAAUAUUGCACAAUGGGGGAAACCCUGAUGCAGCGACGCCGCGUGAGUGAAGAAGGAUUUCGGUAUGUAAAGCUCUGUCAGCAGGGAAGAAAAUGACGGUACCUGAUGAAGAAGCCCCGGCUAACUACGUGCCAGCAGCCGCGGUAAUACGUAGGGGGCAAGCGUUAUCCGGAUUUACUGGGUGUAAAGGGAGCGUAGGCGGCAGCGCAAGUCUGGAGUGAAAUGCUGGGGCUUAACCCCGGAACUGCUUUGGAAACUGUGAAGCUAGAGUGCAGGAGAGGUAAGUGGAAUUCCGAGUGUAGCGGUGAAAUGCGUAGAUAUUAGGAGGAACACGAGUGGCGAAGGCGGCUUACUGGACUGUAACUGACGUUGAGGCUCGAAAGCGUGGGGAGCAAACAGGAUUAGAUACCCUGGUAGUC